rnacentral:lncRNA from 10 species
GGAGCCAGGCUGCCCGGUUUUAUAGCCCUGCUUGACCUGUGUGAUCCGAGAAUAAUCUUGUUUAAUCUCCACAAGUUUGAGGACUAAACUGGGUGCCACAGAGAAUUAAGUAACUGGUCGAGGUUGUAUCAGUAAGAAGGGAGCACGGAACAGAUUCAAGCUCAGAUGGAGUCUCACACUGUCACCCGGGCUGGAAUGCAGUGGUGUGAUCUUGGCUCACCUCCCAGGUUCAAGCGAUUCUGCUGCCUCUGCCUCCCGAGCAGCUGGGAUUCCAGGGAGCCUGGUUGGACUUCAGGCCCCUGUGAGGCUGACUCUGUAGUCCUGGAGAAACUCAACAGCCAGGAACUUAGGACCAUUUGUGUGUGGCAUUUGGGCUAACCAGACUGGUGGCUUCUAAAGAAGAUGGAAAGCAUCACGUUUCCUGUAUUUAAAUUAUUUGGUGAUCUCAAUACUGGUUGUUAGCCAAAGUACACAAUGGAGACAGCCUAUUUGCUCUACUACUUUUGAUGUAGAAAUAUUACUAAGCUUGAGCUGAUUAAUAGAACUGUUACACAUUUCUGUGCUCCCCUUACUGGUGGCAUGAAAUAAUUCUUUUAAAACCUGCCAUGUGUUCACAUUUAAAACUAAAAGUAAUUUAGAUUACAUGGAUUUGAGAAGCCCAUGUUGACACGUAAUUGCCAACAGAUGGGCUUUCAAAUGUAAUGAAGUGAAAAUGGUCAGUACCCCAUGUGUUGGAUUUUGCAAUUUUCCAAAGUAAGCUGUCAUUUUUGGCAUGUCAUGCUAGUUAAGAACACAAUGUAUUUAUAGCUCAAUUAUACAUUUUCUGAUGAAUUUGGCAUGGCAUUUUGUUUUUCCAUCAGUCACUUAAGACAGGACAUUUGCCAUUCCAAGAAUGAAUUAACACUCUUCUAAGUGAUCUAUAAACUGAGAUGUAAAAUAAAUUACAAAUUGGGACUGUUUUAGUUUUUCAAGCAAAGGGUGUUUAAAUAAAGCUUGAAAUCAUAAACCUUAUUUCCUGUUUGAGAAGAUGGUGUAUUCAUUACAGAGUGAAAUAAAGGAUUUUAAUGUUUUUUUUUUUUUCCGGCAA